CUCAGCACAGCUGCCUGCGACCUGCCCACUUCUUGUCAAAUCCAAGAAGGAAGGGACCUGCUGGCCAAACCCUUUUUUCCCACUGGACCUCAGACCCCAAGGAACUUGGAGUCUGCUCAAGUGAGUGAGUUGGGGCUCUUCGCCCUCCCAGAACUGGCUGUUGAUGGAAGAAACCCCUGCGUAGGAAGGAUGGUCCCACACAUCCUUUUAGAUCUGAUUCAAAUCCCACGACUUCCAUGAAGAUGUGUUCCACUUACUCUGAUUUCUCUCUUCUUGGAACUCCUGUCACCCUGGAUUCAUGGUUAGCACUUAAUUUUUGUCUAACAGUUUUGUGAAAAUUAGCACUGUCCUAUCAGCCCCUUGUCACUAUGUAGCUAGCACAGCCCAGAUGGAUACUGGGAUGGGCUCAGUAAGUACAGAUUGACAAUGACUUCCCAAAAAGAUGGCAAGUUCUUCCAGCAGCUGGGGAUGGGCCACUGUACCUGUUUUCUGGGGCCUACCAGACCACGGGACACGUUGGAAGGAGGGUCUUUGGUCUUGAAGUUUGGAGGUGAGGCCCCAGCAGGAAGGAGAACUAAGGUGACAGAUGUAUGCCUUUUGGAUGGGGCCUGGUUUGGGGGCAUUUCAUAGUCCCAUGCCAAUCCCAA
rnacentral:lncRNA from 1 species